rnacentral:lncRNA from 1 species
ACGUGAAACUUAUUACUAAAAAUUAUUUUAAAAAAUAAUUAGUUGAGAACCUAUCCGUAGAUACAUAUGGAUUGGUCGAGCCAUAUUCGGACCUGUAUACAAUCUGUGUGGAUUCUAGUAUCGACUAAAAAAUUAAGGUAAUUCUUCAGAUUGGAGGUAGAAGCUACCAAUUUGAUUAAAAUAGUGGAAAACUUUUAGACU